UACGAAGGGGACUAGCGUUGUUCGGAAUCACUGGGCGUAAAGCGCACGUAGGCGGAUGUGUCAGUCAGGGGUGAAAUCCCGGGGCUCAACCUCGGAACUGCCUUUGAUACAGCACGUCUCGAGUCCGGAAGAGGUGGGUGGAAUUCCUAGUGUAGAGGUGAAAUUCGUAGAUAUUAGGAAGAGCACCGGUGGCGAAGGCGGCCCACUGGUCCGGUACUGACGCUGAGGUGCGAAAGCGUGGGGAGCAAACAGG
rnacentral:rRNA from 1 species